rnacentral:rRNA from 1 species
GGCCCGCGUCUGAUUAGCCUAGUUGGGAGAGGUAACGGCCUACCAAGGCGACAAUCAGUAGCCGGCCUGAGAGGGCGACCGGCCACAUUGGGACUGAGACACGGCCCAGACUCCUGCGGGAGGCAGCAGUGGGGAAUAUUGCACAAUGGGGGGAACCCUGAUGCAGCGACGCCGCGUGAGCGAAGAAGUACCUCGGCAUAUAAAGCUCUAUCAGCAGGGAAGAAAGUGACAAAACCUGACUAAGAAGCCCCGGCUAACUACGUACCAGCAGCCGCGGUAAUACGUAGGGGGCAAGCGUUAUCCGGAUUCACUGGGCGUAAAGGGAGCGCAGGCGGCGCGGCAAGUCUGAUGUGAAAGCCCGGGGCUCAACCCCGGGUCUGCAUUGGAAACUGUCGAGCUGGAGUGUCGGAGGGGUAAGCGGAAUUCCUAGUGUAGCGGUGAAAUGCGUAGAUA